AACGAACGCUGGCGGCAUGCCUAACACAUGCAAGUCGAACGAGACCUUCGGGUCUAGUGGCGCACGGGUGCGUAACGCGUGGGAAUCUGCCCUUGGGUUCGGAAUAACAGUGAGAAAUUACUGCUAAUACCGGAUGAUGUCUUCGGACCAAAGAUUUAUCGCCCAGGGAUGAGCCCGCGUAGGAUUAGCUAGUUGGUGGGGUAAUGGCCUACCAAGGCGACGAUCCUUAGCUGGUCUGAGAGGAUGAUCAGCCACACUGGGACUGAGACACGGCCCAGACUCCUACGGGAGGCAGCAGUGGGGAAUAUUGGACAAUGGGCGCAAGCCUGAUCCAGCAAUGCCGCGUGAGUGAUGAAGGCCUUAGGGUUGUAAAGCUCUUUUACCCGGGAUGAUAAUGACAGUACCGGGAGAAUAAGCCCCGGCUAACUCCGUG
rnacentral:rRNA from 1 species